AUAAAACAGGGUUUUAUGGCUCAGUUUGGCAUACAAACGUUACUAUUCUCAGAACUUGUAUAAUCCUCAUCAAACUGUAAUAACCUCAUUCACAGGGGAUGAGAAGACACAGUCCGGAGUGGUCUGCUGGACCAUGGAUGGACGCAACCAAUGGCUAGUGGGCCUUGGAAUAAUGAGGAUGACUGACCAUUGAUCUGAAUACCUCCGUCACUGAUCUGAUUUGGACCAUUAUUCAACCAAUGUCCUCCAGACUAAUAGGGGAAGAACUCAACCUUCUCUUUAAAUUGAAUGACUUCCAACUUCCAACGCAAGACAUCACAAGUCAAUCCUGAGAUGAUGUAAAUGCAUCAGACCCGAGGUGAGGACAUCCUUAUGCCGAUGAUGGACAAAUAAGCAGGCAAAUUGGCAACCUAAAUGGAGAGCUCUAAUUGGAUGAUGCGGGGGAUCGAUUGUAAUCAUCUUACGACACGCUCCACUGACAUGUGGGCAGGUUGGAAAACAGGCCCUUGAGAGUAUCUGGGAUGGCCAAUCAAUCUCAAGGAUGCAUUUAUGAAUGUAUCUCACUGAAAUAACAUCUUCAAGCACGUCUACCUUCCAGCUAUCUACCCCCCUCCCCCUCCCCCUCCUCUUCCUCUGUAAACAGAUACACUUAACCAUGCCUCCCUAUAAUUGGAACAUGAGUGAUUUGAAGAUGUUGCAUUACCAGCUUUUCAAUGCUUCAUACAGAAAAUGUCUGAAUGCACCCGACUGAACUACCCCUGGAUAUGCCAGAGGCAAUGUUUUAGGUUUCAUCUUGCAUCCCACUUGGUAAUGUUUAAUGUUUCAUCUAAGAUUACUGAAGGCAAUUCACAAAGGUAUUCCCAAUUUAGAAAUAUGAUGUCCCGUCAUCUAUUUCCUACAUUGCUCAAUCCCUAUCUCCCGCUACCGCUAUAUCUUUGUUAAUUCCAUCAAGGUCUUUUAAUACUUCAAUCAACUUGCUUUCCUUCUUUCUUCUCUCUCUCCCCCCCCCCCCCCCCCC